CUGUCAGUCCGCCUCACAGCUCCCUCGUCCCGGACAUGUUUUUUUUUUUUUUUUUUUUUUUCACGGUUUGUGGUCCGAGCUAACACGACCAAACAACAGCUGUGGAGUCGUGCUGUCCAAGCCUUCUCCUCUCCGGUCCCUCCCAGCCCCCCUCCUCGUCCUCGUCUGCUCGCCCUCUUGCCUGCGCAGUUUCGGACGAGUUAACACAAGUCCGCCCGAGCCCUCCCUUUCCCCGCCCCAGGCCCCGGUGCUGAAACGCCGCUAUCUCCCUGGCAUUCCUCGGAUACCGACGCGAGCCGAGCUAACACAUCACCUGGCUGCAGUCAGCAUUAUAAUGGGGGCGGAGCUGGGAGCAGGAGGCAGAGAGGCGGUGUUUUUUAUCAGCACGCUGGAGGCGGGGAAGAACACUCUGACGAAACAGAUCCUUCUUUGGCUUCACCUGCAGGAAAUGGUAGAGACCCAAAGUAGCUUGUGUCCUGCUCUGUCGUUUGUUUUUGAUGACAUGUCUUAGGUUUUCUGAUGAUCAAUUCUUUUAGUGUGAUGCUGUGUAGUUUGUUCUCACCAAAUCCAAAGACGAUCCCAAGGAGUACUUCCGGCUCACCCUGCGCACCACUUGUGUUCCUGAGAUGACAAAUGCUCAUUUAAGAGGAAUAGUUUGACAUUUUGGAAGACGUGUAAUCAUUUGAUUGCUGAGUUAAAGAGAGUAUCCAUACCACUGUCAUGCUGGUUUGUCAAAUAUGAAGCUGAAACAAAGAAGGUGGCAUGUGUUAAUAAGUGUGCAUAGUUCACAAAAUGUUGAACUAUUCCUUAACUGUUGUGCAUAUGUUAAUACACCUAUCUGCAAGAUAUUGUUUAACCUGUGAUAUCAUUAUUCAUUCAGGCCUAAUUUUCUAGAUUUUAACAUUAAAACCAAUGGAAUUACUCUAAGCAGGAAGAAGCCAGUAAACACCCUGAAUAAAUGUUUGUAUAACAGUUUGACUUGAUAAACCAGCUGAGCAUGAGUGAUUUCAACAGAUACUCUGCUUCUCUCUCCAAGUUAAAACGGAUGAUGAGAAAGAUAAGAGUUUAUAAUUAGGCUUGUUUCAUAACACAGAAACAUAUCUGCUUUAACACAUCAACAAAUCAAAUAAACUAUGAUCCAAGAUGAGCAUGUAAACAAAAUUUGUUCUCCAUAAAAAAUAAAAGCAAAUAAAAGUUAGCCUGCAGUUAAUGAACAUGAACUAUAUGAAUCUGUUUGUUUGUAUGCACCAGAUUGGGUGAUCUGGCUAUAACCUAUAUCACAGUAUUGAUUAGGAUAUUUUUCCAUUAUCAGUUGUAUGACUGUUGAACUGUAUGCUCGAAUCCAAUGUCUUGUCAGAUUUGUAGAUUUGUUUACUUAAAUUAAUUUAUAUUUAAAAUCAAAAAUACCAUAUUAAAACUAUUUAAGUGACAUUA